UCUAGAGUAAUCAAAGCCCAAGCACCAAUCAGUCAUUACAAAAUAAUAAUAAUAAUAAUUAAUAAAUAAAUAAAUAAAUCACAGAAAAACCUCAGACCUGGCAACACAGCUUCAUGUUUAUUUUUAUUUUUAUUUUUGCUUCACUAUGGCAGUGACACUGAUGUCAGAGGGACACUACUGCCACCUAUUGAGGUGGAGAGGGAAGUUAGAUAAAUUGCCCCUAGGUGGCAGCACAGGUAUUCUCAAACUACUCUCAAAGCCUGCAAUAUCCUGUAGAGUCUAUAAUCUAAUCACACUACUGACUUGUAAUCUCGAAACUUUUUUUUUUUUUUUUUUUAAAUUCUCCUUCAAGAUCUUGUAAUUUCUUAGUAAUAGAAAGGAACAGGAGUAUUGCCUUUCAAAUUGAGUUAAUAUGAGAUGUUGGUUUUUGCUGUGUGCAACAGUUGCAUUUGAUAUGGUAAAUAGAUUUAUUUUUUUAAAAUAAAGCAUUGCAAACAUGAUAUUCAGGCAUAUGCAGGCUUAAGUAAAAGGGCCCAAUAAUGUACAGUACAAGAAGUUUAAAUAGUUCACAAAUAUGAGCUUUAAUGCAAAGAUGAGAAUAGCACCAUUACCUUGAAAAAGUCUUACUGUUACAAGUGCAAAAAUGUUAAAUGAAGAGAUGUUUAAGCUGUCAGUUCUGCUCUUUCUAAUUUCCUAGCCCAUUUUGCUUGGUUCACGACUUCAAAAACCAGAAACACUGGACGCAUUGUGUGGCGGUGAAGUUACGUGUAAUAGGACUAUAAAAUAGAAAUGGGAAUUAAAUUAAAAUUGAAACUGUGGCUCUUCCGGACCUGCCUUCUUCAUCCUGAUGCUCUACUUCUGCUGGAUGUUUCCCAUAGAUAUGAUAAAGAUGUUCUCUUCCCCAAAAACAGUUUAUACCCAAGUCUGGCCAUUGCUUCACUAGAUAAUCUCACAUGAAUACAGUAAAUUUGUACCUGCUGUAAUCAUAAAGACUGCUAUGUAGACUCACAAGACUCUUAUUCACAAUAUACUUAUAUGCUUCCACUUCCACAGUUCCACAGAAAUCUAAAUCGACAUUCAGGUUUCUGUAAAGCUGCUAUGUGAAAAUGUCCGUUGUUAAAACUGAUUUUACUUCUGUCUACAUCUGAGACUUCUUGCACCUACACACUAUAUAUACACCCUCUGCCCAUAUGCUGAAUUUCAAUUGGCCCACAUUCUUCAUAUUUUCACAUUAAAUACACAGAUGCAAAUUUGCUAUCACACUUUAUAUCAUGUUGUGAAGCUGAAAUGUGUUGAACUGCUUGUUCAUGACAAGUCUAGAAGAGGAGCAAACAUGGCAUGGUGGUAAUGUUGGUGGUUAUUUCUUGAUGAGCUGUUCCUUUAAGACAGAUCAGACAGAUGAACAUGGUGUGUGAUGUUGCUGUUUUGUCUCAGAGGAGAUACUUGUUUUAGGAUAAACAAGGUUCUGGCAAAUCUGAAAGCAGUGCAUGUAAAUGAAGACAGGCUUUGAUCAAAUGUGGACUGGUAAUGUACAUACUGACUAUUUACCUGAUAAUUAUUUUCUGAUGAAUUUAGAUGCAUGGUAAACAUUUAUAAUAAUAUUGUCUGACAUGUUGGCUUUUUGCCUGGUCAGUAGAAAUCUUUUUAGCUGAUUGUUAUGUCAGAAAAGAUUUCCAACAAAGAGGACAAGGUGAUACACUUAAAUUGUGAUUCUAUAUGUCCAUUCAAAAAUACUUACUUACUGCCUCUUUCUCUGCUUGCCUUUCCUUUAACUGUCCCUAUUUUAAGCAUUCUCCUAUCCCAUAUAACACCCUCUCCAACCUUCUAGCCUCACAACUUAUCCGUGCAUGGAUUUUCUGUCGACUUACCUAGGGAGAUCGAAGACUAAUUAAGAUUGUUAAUGAAGAUUUAAUUUUCCGCUUUCCAACCCAGCAAGCACUUGAAAGAUGCAAAAGAUGCAGUGAAUUUUUAUUUAACAAACAAAACAGUACCGGAUCUGCAGUCUGAUAUUUCUACCACAAAUGUAGCAUUGUAAGUGCUUGAACAUUUCAGCUGUGCUGUUUUACUUUGCUUUACAGAGCAGGACAUCUAGCUUGUAUCAACACCGAUAACCCUCCCUACAGAUGAAACUGCAACACAUUCACAGCAAAUCAUACGUGAUAGCCUGGGGAAUGUCUCUAUGUCAGCUGAAAGGAUCAAAAAGAAUUGGGAAUGCUGAACACCCAGCUACGUAUACACAUGCCUGUCUGCCAUGAUGUGAGUGCAGGACUGUGUGGCCUGCGGUUCUCUCUCACUGCCUUGCUGCAUUAAUUAUUCACCAGGCUAAUUAUGGAGGAUGUGGUUAUCUUCACCUGCUGUAUCUCGGGCAAACUGAACAGCAAGCACACUGCCGGCUUCUUUAGUUCACAUCCCUGAAAAAUGUGGCACUGGUUACAAUUGUACAAGGCGAGAACAAUUUACUUGCAAAAUCUUCAUUGUGCAAAGCUUUUAGUGCCUCAGUGAAUGCAUCUCAUAUAUUAUUGGUGUUCCCUUAUGCCCAUUGCUAGUAUUUAGGAAGAUUUACAGCAUCAUUUCUUUUUAGACCACACAUCCUUUUGUUGAGAAGUGACUUAAAUUGCUUAUAUAACAGUGAAUAGAGGAAACAAUUACCAAAAAUAGUCUUACUCUUCCUGCUGCGUGGGUAAUCUGCUUGGAGCACUUGUGAUUCACUUUCCUACUUGGAUACCAUAAAGUUUUGCAACCCCCCCUCCCCAGAAAAAAAAAAAAAAUUAAACAGCUUAUACCCUUAAUUCAGUGGAUAAUCUCACCUGGAUACUAUAGAUUUGUAGGUAAGAACUGCUACUGUACCCAUACAUAGUGUUCUGUGCUCAUCCCAGGACUUUUAUUCAUGAUAUACAGGAUGUUCAUAUAGAACGUCUUUUCAACACACAGUCAACACAGUCAGAUUUCUUACUCGCCACUGCCACCUCUGGUUUGCUCAUUCGGGAUCUAAAUGUACAUCCGAUUUUUUGAAAAGCUGCUUUGUGAUCAUUUCUAUUGUUAAAAUCAGUGUACAGAUUAAACUGAAUUGAAUAAUCAUGUUCUCCCUAUGUCUGUGUGGGUUUGCUUUAGGUUUUUUGAUUUCUUCCCACUGUCCAAAAACAUGCACGUAGGUGGAAUGGCUGUUACAUUGCCCCUAGGUGUGAAUGUGUGUGUGCAUGUGCGUAUGGUGCCAACUCUUCUGCUCUGCCCACAGUGUUCCUAGGAUUGGCUCCAGAUCCAAUCCACUAUGGCCCUGACACCGGGAUAAAGUGAAGGUGAAGGAAUGAACAAAUAUCUUAUAAUAAGGUCUUACAUAAUACUGUAUGUGCAUUGCUUAAUACUGUAAUCCGUUCACUUUUAUAUACACUAUAAUGCAUGGACAAAGCAUGUAUGUACCUGUCUCUCAAUUACCUCUAAAACUUUCUUGAGUUAUAUCUGUGACUGACUCUAUUUACAUGGAGAGAACAUCUGCAAAACAUCUCCUUUUCGAACAACAUGGGCUUGUAAUUCAUUGGUAAUCUCAGGGCCGUGAGGACUAUAAAAAUGAAUCAUGGGAUAAAAAUGGGACUUUGUGGGACUGCAAAACUGAAACUAUUGAUUGGGAACAUUUUGUGCUACACCCAGCAACACAGCUUUUUCUGUUUUCAAUACACAUUUUUUCUGAGGUUAGAAGGUGCACAGCAAAAUCCGAUUUUUCAGAAUGUUUGGAACAUUUUGAGACAAAUGUAGAUUUUAUGCUUUAUGUCAGGAUGACCCUAUAUAACAGACCUCAGUCUCUAUAUAGAGCCUUCUAUUUUUCAAAUACAUGCAGUGCUGUGAAAAAUUAUUUGCUCCAUCCUGAUUUCUUCUGGUUUUGUGUAUAUUUCAUACUAAAUAGUUUUAGAUUUUCAAACAAAAUACAUAAAAUGAAGGCAACAUGAUUAAACACAAAAUACAGUUUUUAUUGAAGCGCAAAAAAAAAAGCUAUCCAACACCUAUAACCGAUUUGAAAUACUAAUUGCCCCCUUAAAUUUCAAAUCUAGCUGUGUAACGUUUAGCAGCAACCAAACACUUUCGAUGCAGUCUUUCACAGCUCUGUGGUGGACUUUUGGCCCACUCUUCUUUGCAGAACUGCUUUAGUUCAGCCACACUGAAGGGUUUUCGAGCAUGAACUGCCUGUUUAAGGUCCUGCCACAGCAUCUCAAUUGGUUCAAGUCAGGACUUUGACUAGGCCACUCCAAAACCUUAAUUUAGCUUAUUUUUGAGCCAUUCAGUGGUGAUUUACUCCUAUACUUUGGAUAAUUGUCUUGCUGUAUGAUCCAGUUAUGCUUGAGUUUCAACUUAAGGACUAAAGACUGAACAUUCUCCUUUAGGAAAGUAUCCCCACACCAUCACACUUCCACCACCAUGCUUGUCCGUAGGUAUGAUGUUCUUUUUGUGGAAUUCUGUGUUUGUAAUGGUAUCGGGACCCCUGUCUUCCAAAUAGUUCCAGUUUCGAUUCAUCAGUUCACAGAACAUUCUCCCAAAAGAUUUGAGAAUCAUCAAGGUGUAUUUUGGCAAAAUUCAGAUUAGUCUUAAUGUUCUUCUGGGUUAGCAGUGGUUUUUGCCUCGCCACUCUUCCCUGGUUGCCAUUUUUGCCCAGUGUCUUUCUCAUAGUGGAGUCAUGAACAGUGACCUUUAUUGAUGCAAGAGAGGCCUGUAGUUCCUUUCAUGAUGUCCUUGGCUUUUUUGUGAUUUCCUGGAUAGGUCAUUGCUGUGCUCUUGGAGGAAUUUUGGAAGAUCGGACACUUCUGGGAAGGUUCACUUCUGUGCAGAUUUUUUCCAUUUGGAGAUAAUGUCUCUCACUGUGGUACUUUGCAGACCCAGAGUCUUUGAAAUAGCUUUGUAACCCUUCCCAGACUGAUGUAUUUCAAUCACCUUCUUCCUCAUCAUUUCUGGAAUUUCUUUCAAUUUUGGCAUAGUGUGUUACUGGGUAAGACUUUUAACUUCAUGCUGUUAAAAAAUUCUGUUUAAGAUUUGAUUGAACAUAGUUUGCAGUAAUCUGGCAUGGUUGCAUCUAGUCCAGCUGAACCCCAUUAUCAAUGCAGUUUCGAAGUGAAACAAAAUGCAGUCCAAGCAUAACGCUGUUAGACGAACAGUGGGAAGAACAGUGGGUACCAUAAAUAAUCUCAGGAUGGAGCUCGUGCUAGUGCACAACAGUGGACAUGUUAAAAUCACUCAGCUCAACAGUGGCUAUAUGAUGUUGAGAUCCAUCUUUUCACACUGAGGAUGACUGAGGGACUCGUACACAACUAUUACAAAAGAUGCAGUGGCUCCAUCCUGAGAUGCAGUUCCCUCUCUAGAGCUAUUUCCCACCUCACUGGGCCCCAUGUACAAAGCUCCUGGUUCCA